rnacentral:misc_RNA from 1 species
GAUGAAGAACGUAGCGAAAUGCGAUAAGUAAUGCGAAUUGCAGAAUCCGUGAGUCAUCGAAUCUUUGAACGCACAUUGCGCCCUUUGGUAUUCCGAAGGGCAUGCCUGUUCGAGCGUCAUUAUCACCCCUCAAGCUCCGGCUUGGUGUUGGGCUCCAUAACAUAACUGUUAUGGGCCUCAAAAACAGUGACGGCGUCCCAGAUGGAACCGGUACGAGGAGCUUUUAACCAAGCAUGUACGCGGCGUGAAUCUGUGGGCGGCGGUCUUUAACCACUACUCUUCGGAGUACUUUCUAAGUGUUGACCUCGGAUCAGGUAGGGAUACCCGCUGAACUUAAGCAUAUCAAUAAGCGGAGGA